rnacentral:rRNA from 1 species
UACGUAGGGUGCAGGCGUUAAUCGGAAUUACUGGGCGUAAAGCGUGCGCAGGCGGUUUGCUAAGACAGGUGUGAAAUCCCCGGGCUUAACCUGGGAACUGCGCUUGUAACUGGCAAGCUAGAGUGCGGUAGAGGGUAGUGGAAUUCCCGGUGUAGCGGUGAAAUGCGUAGAGAUCGGGAGGAACACCAGUGGCGAAGGCGGCUACCUGGACCAGCACUGACACUGAGGCACGAAAGCGUGGGGAGCAAACAGG